rnacentral:lncRNA from 10 species
CUGGCUCCAGUGCUUACCAACCUGAGCUCUGAGACCUGAGGAUGUGACAUGAACCUCACUGUGCUUUCCUGUUUCACAGAAAUGGGAAUAACAGCCACGUGCACCUUCCUAGGGCAUGGCGGGGAUUCACUGAUAGCAGAUGGAACAGCCUUGAGGCAGGAGUCAGUCCACAGUGAGUGUUGUCAUGGUAACUGUAGUUGUCAUUGUCUU